rnacentral:tRNA from 1 species
UGGGUUGUGGCUGAGUGGUAGAGCACUUGCCUAGCAUGUGUGAGGCCCUGGGUUCAAUUCUCAGCACUGCAU